rnacentral:lncRNA from 1 species
CCAUUCAUUGGACCUCAAGGGAGGUGGUGUUGAUGAUGCUUCAUCCUAGAUCUCCUACAUACUUCAUUAUCCAAGAAAUCAUUUUCAAAAACACUCAUCACUCUCUCUCUCACCUAAAAUCAGCCGAAACCCCCUCCCAUAUCACAAUAAUUUCGAAAUUUUUAGCUAGUUCAUGAAGAUUAAAGUUCAAUCCAAGAAGAUUUCAAGGUGUUUUAAGUAUCCAAAAGUGUUUUCUUGGUGAAACAAGCUUCUAACCAUCAACAAUCUUGUUAAAAGCCACUUAAAACUUAAAAGAUGAUGCAUGCAUGUUUAAAAGUUGACGUAUAUAAUCAAUUUCUGGGAUUGCGGUGUUAAAAUACGCACCCAAAGGUACUCGAACUCGACUUCGGGAAAUCAUGGCGUAUCUUGUGGUGAAUGAUGCAUGUUGUUUCUUUUAAAUAUGUUGGACAUCUUGUAAACUUUCUGGGACUUUUGUAAUAAGAUCCGCGAGGAUCAAAGACAUCUUAACUAUGUAAUUGUGUCGUGACUUAAAACGUAAUGUUUAACAACUUAUGUUUAA